rnacentral:rRNA from 1 species
UACGAAGGGGGCUAGCGUUGUUCGGAAUUACUGGGCGUAAAGCGCACGUAGGCGGAUAUUUAAGUCAGGGGUGAAAUCCCAGAGCUCAACUCUGGAACUGCCUUUGAUACUGGGGUAUCUUGAGUAUGGAAGAGGUAAGUGGAAUUGCGAGUGUAGAGGUGAAAUUCGUAGAUAUUCGCAGGAACACCAGUGGCGAAGGCGGCUUACUGGUCCAUAACUGACGCUGAGGUGGCGAAAGCGUGGGGAGCAAACAGG